CAUGUUCAAACAACUGUUCCCGUGCAAUCCCUGAAGUUAAGCAACAUCGAGCCUAAGCAGUACCUAGAUAAGUGACCGCUUGGGAAUACCAGAUCCUGUA